ensembl:lncRNA
CGGUGAUGCUGGAUGCCAUUGACGACAGACUCACAGGGUCCGUCCCUCAGGCCUGGGAUAAACUCGGGACGAUAACACGCCAACAGUUUUCUAAGGCUGUAUCGAUGGAAGCCCCAGAUAACAGCCUCUUAAAUCCCGAUCAAAGGGAUGUUGUAGUCCUGCAGGCUGACCUUAAGGAACAUCUCUCCCUGUCCGAGGUGGAUGGAAGACUCAGUGUGUCGGGGUGGACGGGCCAGCCGCUGGGUCUGUUCCGGGAGGGAGACCAGUUCCUAGCUCUGAACGACCUGCUCACCUGCAGCAUGGUGGAGUUUCAUGCCUACCUCAGCAGAUCCCUAAAAAAACAGGUCAAAGUGACCAUCUUGCGUCACCUGAAAGUCCCCAUCCACCGUCGCCACAGUUUACCUCACACUCUGUGAGCUAAACUGUGCAGGUUUAGACUUACAAGAGUUUGUAAUUCCGGGUAUCAUUUUAUCAUAAAAUGGUGGGAAGUUCGCCUUCGACACCCAGUUUGUGACAUUGUGAGAAUUCAAAUGCAAGGGCUUUCAUCCACAGACCAUAGGCUCAAUCACUAUUGUGAUACCUCAUUCGGUGAUGGAUAGUUACUUACAUUACCUUACAUUUAUUGAAACGAGAUUCGAGAUUCUUCGAGAUUGCCACCAUAAGUCAUCAUUUACUCUGUAGUCAACUUGAUCCAUCUACAUACACUAAAAAGCACUUAAUCCUGCACUAUAUCACUUUUCCACUACAGCUAUUCACUCCAUUAAAAAGUAUCUGAACUAGAACAUUUCUCAAGAGUAAAGUGUGCCUCUCCACGAGUCAUUCAAUCCCGGGAAUUUUCUCUCCAAAUUACUUUCCUCAGGCUUACUUUUGUUCUCCAGUUAAUAAUUCAUCUCCAAUCUGAACAUUAUAUUAUCUGAGAGUAGAGGUCUAGCCAUCACUUUGAAGAAUACAAAGCCUUCUGUCUGAAACUCCCAGACGUGUGUGUGACAGCGGUCAGUGGUAUUACUAUGAUGACAGCAACUUGAUGUAUUCUAUAGAGGAGCAGAUAGUGUCACACACACACACACACACACACACACACACACACACACACACACACACACACACACACACACACACACACACACACACACACACACACACACACACACACACACACACACACUUUAUCGUUUAGCAGACUACGCUUUAUCCAAAGCAAGUACCCCCUUACAAGUAAGGCCGAGAAACCUAAUAAACGAAGAGGCAUGAGUAGCAAUGGAAACAGUUGUAUUAGUGGAAAACCAGUUGGACUAGAUUCAGCCUGUUCUCCAAAAUAAAAUACAGAAUCUGACAUCUUUCAAUAUGACCCCAAAUUACUUAUUUGAGCGGUCGCUGGAACAGCGCCCCCUAUGGACUGGUCGAAGAAACAGAAAUAUGUCAGUAUCAAUAUCGGCCAAAACGAAUUGGAUGAUAUUCGUUUGCACUUUAAGAUUAGUUUUGAUAACAAUUCUUGCAAGAAAUGUGCAUUUUAUUUUCAUAAUCUUUCUUCAGUGAAUGAAUAGUUUAGUUGUGUAGUAUUCAUGUAACAAUUCACACUACAGUUGAUCUGAAAGGAGAGACAUGUUACGUAGUUAUGUACCGGAUGAGUAAUCAUAAAGAUGUCCAGGUUGAUGUCAAUAAAAUCGGU